GGGAAGUGUAUCGUGUAUUUGUCUUUCUGUUCAGCACUGAGUUUGGGACCAUACUCAGCAUCUGUGGAUGUAUUUGGGGGUUCCUCCGUUCUGUCCGCUUCGUUCCGGGCAGCCGGGACGUCAUCCACAUGUCUUGUGAAGAGGCCACCCUUUACACAAGAUAUGUGUUUGACGUCUUGGUUGUUUGGAGCGGGGUGGAUGGAAUGGAGGAGCUUUUGAGUGCACUUGCUGAUGAUGGGUGUGGUCUCGGACUUGGCGUGGAGCGGAGGGGUGGGCAUGGGAUGCGCUUCCUGGACGUGCAGAUUAUAUACGAGCCCCCAGUGGUCAACACAACAGUGUAUGGGGGGCCC
rnacentral:lncRNA from 1 species